UACGUAUGGUGCAAGCGUUAUCCGGAUUUACUGGGUGUAAAGGGAGCGUAGACGGUUGUUUAAGUCUGAAGUGAAAGCCCGGGGCUCAACCCCGGGACUGCUUUGGAAACUAUGCAGCUAGAGUGUCGGAGAGGUAAGUGGAAUUCCCAGUGUAGCGGUGAAAUGCGUAGAUAUUGGGAGGAACACCAGUGGCGAAGGCGGCUUACUGGACGAUGACUGACGUUGAGACUCGAAAGCGUGGGGAGCAAACAGG
rnacentral:rRNA from 1 species